AACUGCGCUCGGGAGGUUAAAGGUGAUCGCCCGAGAAUAUUUGAAUAUGAGACCGAUGUAGGGGCAAGGGAAUUUGACAUGACUUGCGUGAUUAUUAACUUCGUUAAUAAUUACGCAGUUCCGGUCCUAUUGAUAAGUGCGCUGAUCUGAGGACCAAAAAUUAUGUUCGUCCAUUUCAACUUGGACCGUGGACCGAGGCAGGAGUGGUGAUAGUAUUUUUGAAACCGCGAGAAAAGUUGAAGCUUCUUUAGUGACUAGAAGUUAGUAAAACUAAAUUGUACCCUCCCACGCAUCGGCUCAAUAAAUUUUGGAGGAAGUGCCGCUUCUGACCCCACGGAGCAACGUUGAAACAGGCCGAUCAUCCAAUCAAGGCUCAUCGUUCUCGCACACUGAGUGGAACGCGCUGCGCACCAAAACCUUCGCAGCCGCGGCAGCAAGCCGCACCGGAAACAACAUCAUACGCCCACUUAUAUUGGAGCAGAAGCCGCCGCCGCAUCGAUCACGUAAAACCAUGGUAGUGAGUACCCUUUCCUUAUCCAUAUUUUAACAUGCGCAUGUAGGAUAAGUGAGUUUGAAAGAAACGCUAUAUAUAGCUACUAACCCAGAAAGCCACACUACAAUAAAAGCCACAACACAAUUGCAUGCAGUGGAGAGCUCACUCCAUACGAUAGUUUAGCGUGAUUCGAGCAAUGCCGUACACACAUGAGCGAAUAGAGUAAUUGACAAACGCGCCGUCUUCACAACCUCCGGGUUAUGAGUUCGAGACUUGGGAUGUAGAAUUUAGUGUUUAGUCGGGAGGAAUUCAUUGUCGUUAUGUUAUGUAAAUAUAUUUUCCUAUGUUCA